rnacentral:rRNA from 1 species
UGGAAACGUGCCCAAAGGUACGGAACAACUCCGGGAAACUGGAGCUAAUACCGUAUGUGCCCGGAAGGGGAAAGAUUCAUCGCCUUUGGAUCGGCCCGCGUCUGAUUAGCUAGUUGGCGGGGUAAUGGCCCACCAAGGCGACGAUCAGUAGCUGGUCUGAGAGGAUGACCAGCCACACUGGGACUGAGACACGGCCCAGACUCCUACGGGAGGCAG